GUGGUGAGCGGGGGGAAUGUUUUGGGGGCGGCCAUGUUCCUCCUCCUCUUCUUGUGGCCUCUCUUCGCCAUCUUGGGUGUUUGAAGGCGGGCGGCGGGCUGGUGGUGGUGGUGGUGCUGCUGGCUAGGCGAGGCGAGGCGAGGGGCAGGGCACACGCACACACCGUACAGGGGCGGCGCCGACCCUACCGACCAGUGCCACGGUGGUUGUGUUAUGGGGCUUGGUGGUCCAGGUGUGCGGGAGUCGUGGGACGGAAGGAUUAUGGCUGAACAGCAGUUCUGCCUACGGUGGAACAACUUCCAGGCGAACAUAGUAUCAUCGUUUGAAACCUUACUAGACCGAGAAGAGUUUGUAGAUGUAACGUUAACAGCAGAGGGAAAAUCACUCAAAGCUCACAGGGUUCUUCUAUCAGCAUGCAGCCCAUAUUUCAGAGACCUAUUUCGGGAUCUCCCAGCCCAUCAGCAUCCAGUCAUAGUGUUGCGUGAUACAAGUUUCCUAGAGUUAAAAUCCUUACUGAGCUUCAUAUACCAUGGGGAAGUUAAUGUAUCUCAAGAAAGGCUGGGACUCCUUCUCAAGACAGCAGAGGCACUUAGAAUUAAAGGACUUGCUCAAGACAAUAGAACCACAGAAAAUGAACCAUUUGGGAGCCUCGCUAGUAGUCCUAAGAAGGAAACUGAAGAAGGCAUGGAUAGAGGAGAGCGACGUGGAGGGGGUCCUGGAUCCCCUGCACUAAGCCUUGCCUUCUCUGGUGUUGGUGGGUCUGCCCUGGCCCCCGUCAACCCUCUCGUUCCCCUGGAGCCACCAAGCCACAAGUCACACCAUCUCUUGCUCUCACCACCAGCCAAGCGUCGAAAACCACUACACUCACCACUUGGAGGUCCCCCACCCACACAACGAGAAAAUUCAAUCCUACCUAUACCACCUGUUACCUCCACUGCCUCUCAAGAUGAUGACAGAACUAAUAGGGUAAUCAACCUGACCAUGGCCGCCAGCAGCUCUGGUAGUGCUAACUCUCCAUCCCCAAGAUUAGUACCCAAGACAGAAUUAAAUGUAUCUGAGGAGGAUGGCCCUGGUAGAGGUAGCAGCAGCAGUGGUGGUGGUGGUAGUGGUGGUGGUGGUGGAGGUGCUGGAGGUGGUGAAGGUAGUAGUGACCAUGAGGCUGAAGAGCCAUAUGAUGAUGACUCUAUAGACCAUGAUGUUAAAGGUCCAGACCUGCAUGGAUUACCACAACACCUCUCAGCAGCAGUACAAAACUUUGUGCCAUAUGCAGCAGCAGUAGCAGCAGGAUCCUCGCAGCUGGAAACCUUCCCUGGGCCGUCAGGAGUCUUACCUCCCGCUAGUCAAGCAGGGUGGAGGGGGAGCCAUACAGAACCCAGUGACACCUCAGCUCAAGACAGUCAUGGGCCUCUUUCAUCUCUGCACUCCUCCCCCGUGUCUCUGUUCUUCCCCCCGCGUACCUGGUCAACCUCGUCGGCUGGCUUGCGUCCCCAGCUCUCUCUUCCCCCAUUGGCCCCUCUCACCUUCCCUCCAUCUUCCUCAUCUUCUCACGGCUCCUCAGCAGCAGCAGUGGCAGCCGUGGCCGCCCAGUUCUCUCCUCUGCGCCCCAGAACUCUCCGGCCAUCUCACCGACCAGCCCACUGUCCUGCAUGUGGUCGAUAUUUCACUUUUGGACACAAUAUGAAGGCUCAUCUGAAACGUUGCCCCAAAAAUGCUCAUCGACCUACUCUGGUUACCUCAGUCACUUCGGUCAUCUCAACCCCUGCCACUACAACUUCCGUCAAACCAGAACUGGACACCAACCAUACCUCUCCGUCCGUUUCACCCUCCAUCCUGGCGGAGAAACUUACUGCUGAUAGUGGAGAAAGUCUUAAGGCAGCCUCAAAUUAACUCAAAAGACUUAUAUUCUCAGUCUAGAGGAAUAGUAAUUCAUAAAGCUACUCGCUGAUCUCCAAAUUACGGAGAUUUGCACAUGAAUGAAAACUCCUAGAUAUGUAAUUUAGUCAAUUGUAAAAUUUCACAAAUAUCAAGAUGUGGAAUAGUUUGUCCCUUAAAUAAUUAGAAUGCGUCCUCCAUGUUAACAAGAUUGCAGUAAACAGACUGAAAUUGUGUAUUGGUGGUUGUGCUGUACUAUAGCUUAUGCCAGGUAAUUUUGCUCAUGUGUGUGCCAACAAUUUUUUUACCUGGGAAGAAUGCCAUCCCAGUUCAACAUCUUAUAUGUUCCUACGAACCAUGACAAACAAAGCCAUGUUGCUUUAGAAUGGUUCAGUAACUCCUGUAUUCAUGCCACAUUUCUACAAAAGUAGGUGAAAUGUAUAAAUUAUUAGAUAUAGGAGACUGUACCUACCAUACUAAAGUGAACAUUUGGCAUUUAGUCUGCAGAAAAAAAGCAGCUUUAUCUAUCCAUGACAAGUUGGAGACAAUUUUUUAAGGGUUAUUAGUACUUAAGAUGAUUUAAGGUUAAACUGUAAGAGUGAUUUUGACUAACGAGGAAUCUCCUUAACAUUGUGCCAUAUAACAUGCUAAGUCACACAUAGUUUCUAAGAUGCUGCGAGCAUAAUUAUUAAUACUCACGAAUGAAUUUGUUGGGAGAAUUUGCUGGAUUUGGUAAUUUAGUUGUAGAUUGCUUAGUUUGUUGUUUUAGCUUUUUUACUAGUUUUGAGUAGACAUAGUAAUUUGUAGUGUUUUAUUAUUGUUUUGAGGACUUUAAAUUAUUCUAUCCCAACACUCAGGAAAAUAAGCCUAGCAAAUUUUCUCAUCAUUCUAGGGCAAAUGCAGCUAACUCUGCAAGCUUCAAUUUUCAUCCUCAUAUUGUGUAAUUCCGAUGGUCCACAAACUUGUUAGUUCUCUCUAUAGAACCCUUAUCUUUGAACCUUUUUUGAUAAAAAAAAUAAUAAUAAUGAAAUAGUGGCCUUCAUAUAAAUGCACACACAAAUUAAUUCAAAUUUACCGAAGUUGUUGACUCUUUGUACAUCCUAAUGAAGUCCCAGCAUAAAUAAUUAUUAACUUUGAUGAAGUAUGUUGGAAGUAUCCUCCAUUCCUGAUGUGCUUAUCAUUGCAACAAGUGCUUACUACUUCCUGUAUGCACUUUCAAAUGCAGUAUGAUUCUAAGAUAGCUUUUUGGUACAGUAACUUUUUAGAAAUCUCCAAAGAAACGUAGAUGUAUAUGGGCGGCCACACUUUUAAUGAACAACACAUUAUACCUCUUGUGAUGGUUCUUCAGCAUACAGGACAUUUUACACAGACAUAUUCUUCAGAAUUGUUUCUUUCAUUAGUAGAUUUUCAAGUGUGAUGUCAUGCACUACAUCUCAUAUAAAAGAUUAAUUUAUACAUAUAUGAAGCUAUGCAAACACUUAUUCACUGUCAUCAUCACUGUAGAUGAAGAUUCUCACUGUUUUUCCACUUGUUAACUCAAAUUAAUGGAAUUCACAAUUAUGGAAAAAAAUGGAUUUUUAUAGAUAUUUCAGCAACUCAGACCACUAGAUGUAACUUGUCUGAGAAUUUGAUGUUUAUAUAAUGAAUGAACAACUAUACAGAACACAUGAAAAAUUAUAUUGGAAAUGUUACUGGUAACAUCUGACACAUUUAUUGGAAAGAUAUUCAAUAUGCAUAAAGUACUUAUAAUUUGAAAUGGAGGGAGGACCCACAUCUCAUAUUUCAUUAUUACAGUUAUGUUUGACUUCCAAUGGGAUACACAUCAAGAGUAAUGCUUUUUAGAUAGUGUGUGUGUGUGUGUGUGUGUGUGUGUGUGUGUGUGUGUGUGUGUGUGUGUGUGUGUGUGUGUGUGUGUGUGUGUGUGAAAUAAGACAGUUUGUGUAUGUUGAGAUUGAGAGAGAGGGAGUGAGAAAGAAAGGCUGUAAUCAUAAUAUGGAUAUUAUUGUGACUAUCAUUAACUUUGGAAGUAUUAUUGUUGCAUAAUAUUAAUGAUGCUUUCACACACAAAUUUCAUAAGUCAAACUCAAUGAACAAGUUUCAAAGUAAAAUUCUUUUUGAUUAUUUGAUUACAAAUAAUAACAGCCUGUGUGCAUUUUCAAAUGCAUACUAAAAUUUCCUAACCACUAAAAAUUUGCAUUUUUCAAAUGAUGAACAAAUAAAAAAAAGGUUCAAGCUUUGGGUAAAAAUUGCUUUUGACCUAUUCUCUUCCUUCAGGCUGUGGCAUGAGUAUUGUGCUGCUGCUGUAGUAUUCUUCCAGAAUUUAAGGCUAUUGGCAUCAUUAGUUAUUUAUUAAACAGAGCCAGUACCUUAAAGCAUUCAUCACUGCAGGGAAGGAGGAGAAAAUUCUCAUGAAUUUUACCUCCAAAUAUAUAUACUGUAGACUGAAUAUUUGAAAUAGGAAGAGAUUUACUUUAUGCAGUCAAUAUUCUAGAAUGCUUGUUGCAAGUAGCUGUUAAUGAAAUAUUCAUAUUUUAUUCAAUGAAUAGUUGAGAAUAGGUGAUCUUGAUAUAUUUCAUAUUUGUCUUUGCAAAGAUGUAUCCUAUUUUUAUUUUUUAUAUUUUCUCAUUUUUAUCUUGCUUGUGAGCCAUCGGGGUUACUUUUGUUGCUCAUAACCCCAGUAACUAUAGGGUAGAGGUGCUUUCUAUGGUUCAUAUUAAUGCAAGGUGCUGUGAUCUGGGGAUAGUCUGUGAAAUAGGGCAGCUGCCAGUGUGUGCUGGUGCAAGGGUGGGAUUUUUAAAAGUGUUAUGGGUUACCCUCCAUUAUUCUCAUUCAUAUGCAUGUGCAGCCAAAAUGAUAUGCAUUUGUGAAUUUAAAACAUUGUUCAAUCUACACAUUUAUAUAAUUGGUUAGAAUAUAAUUCUCUCUCUCUCUCUCUCUCUCUCUCUCUCUCUCUCUCUCUCUCUCUCUCUCUCUCUCUCUCUCUCUCUCUCUCUCUCUCUCUCUCUCUCUGAACAUUUGUAUUUUGAACAGUUUGUUUCCAUACUUCAUUAUUAUUGUGCCAAAUUAUGAAUAGCCAAUCAAUAGUAAUACAUUCUUUAAAAAUGCAUCAAGCAUAAGUUAUCAUUCUAUUGAUUAUUAUUGUAAAUGUAGAGAAAAAAAGCUGCACCCAACUCUGUACAUAUAGUUUUUAAAAAGGACACAUUCAAACUCAGGCAUCGGGAAUCAGUAGGAGGCUGCCAUAAAUUGAGCUUCCCUAAACAUUAGUGAUUUAUAGGUGCUGACAAAGUAGAGGUAAACCUGUGGUUCUUUUAUAUUAAUAUGCCAAUUAUUCACAUGUAAAAAAGAAAAAAAGCAGAUUUUCUUUUACAAUCCAAGUGCCAAGCAUAUUACGGGAAAUGGAGGGUAUUGGUGUGACGUGCAGUGGUGACCCCAGUCGCCCUCUGACUAGUGUGGGUUUAAUCUUGAUUGUCCAGGGUUGUGUCCUUUUUUUCUCUUUUAUGUUUUAUUUGAAUUUGGUUUAAUUUUCUAUCAUAGGAAGUUAUGCAAAGUAUGAAUGAGGUUUGUAUCAUUAUUUUUAGAAUUAAUCGUGUUAUUUUAUUCAAGGUAUGUAUGCAGGAAUAUUCAUUAUGAAUAUUUAUAGGAAAUUUAAGUAAUUUAAGAUAUUGUCUCAAAAUGGAGAAAAUGCCUUUUUAUGCAUUUACUUUGGAAAUGCAUUUGAAGAAAACACUGGGUUAUUUAUGCUCUCUAAGUAGUGUAGAAUUUAUUUAACACACAUCCCAGUGUGGCUAAUGUGUAUUCUAUUUUUUGUUCCUUUUUUUUGCACUGACAAGGACAGUCUUGGCAUUGCAACCUCCAUAUGAUAUUUUAACUUGCUCACCAAAGCUAUGGUAUGGUCUUCCCACUUUCUUAUCUUCAUGAAAGCCAUACAGAAUUUUAAUUGCCAUGCCAUCCUCAUGUUUAACUCCAUAGGCGGAUGGGUGCAACUUUACUUGAUUUACUUUGCUUUGUAUUUCACUAUGAGCCAACACACACACACACACACACACACACACACACACACACACACACACACACACACACACACACACACACACACACACACACACACACACACACACACACACACACACACACACACACA